rnacentral:lncRNA from 1 species
UACCAAGCUCCGGGUGGUUCUCUUGUGAAAUUUGCAGCUGGCCCUCUGGACUUUGGCCUGAGCCCUCACCUGUCUCGCUAAGCCUGCGUGGCACUCGAGCAACCUCCUUUAUUUAUUUUUAAAUAAAACGACAGGAGAGAUUGUUCAGCGUUAUUUUUGUUUUAACGGUGGCAGCGAUGCUCUUUCCAGCUUUCUGCAUCCUAAGCUGAAACCGAAGUCCUUGCUUCUCGUCUUCAUUGAAAAAACAGGGUACGCCUCUGCGUGGGUGGCGCUUCCAGGGUCGCGGAGUCUGUGCACUCUCUAGGGGCCAGUGCAACCGGACUGGGGAGUGGCGGAAUGAGAAUAUUUUAAUACCAAUCUGCGGUGGUUCUGCGCUGUUAACGUAUAUGCUAUAUAUAUUUGGAUUUUUGUCGUCAAGAGAUCUCACUUCCAUAUUUGAGUUGUCUUCAGUUUUCCAAGAGCAACAGGAAAUGAACACAUCACAGGUGAGUUUAUUCCUGCCUUGUUUUACAGUGGAUUUUGUGAAGUUUGUAAGGGAACAGAAAUUAAAAUAGAAAAAUAGAAAUAGAUGAAAAUAGGGGCGCCUGGGUGGCUCAGUCAGUUGGGCGUCUGCCUUCGGCUCGGGUCAUGAUCUCGGGGUCCUGGGAUCGGGUCCCACAUUGGGCUCCUUGCUUGGCAGGGAGCCUGCUUCUCCCUCUCCCACUGCCCCUCCCCCUGCUUGUGCUCUCUCUGUCAAAUAAGUAAAUAAAAAUAUUAAAAAAAAAAAAGAAAUAGAUGAA